GAGUUUGAUCCUGGCUCAGGAUGAACGCUGGCGGCGUGCUUAACACAUGCAAGUCGAACGGGAAACCUUUUAUUGAAGCUUCGGCAGAUUUAGCUGGUUUCUAGUGGCGGACGGGUGAGUAACGCGUGGGUAACCUGCCCUAUACAGGGGGAUAACAACCAGAAAUGGUUGCUAAUACCGCAUAAGCGCACAGGACCGCAUGGUCCGGUGUGAAAAACUCCGGUGGUAUAGGAUGGACCCGCGUUGGAUUAGCCAGUUGGCAGGGUAACGGCCUACCAAAGCGACGAUCCAUAGCCGGCCUGAGAGGGUGAACGGCCACAUUGGGACUGAGACACGGCCCAGACUCCUACGGGAGGCAGCAGUGGGGAAUAUUGCACAAUGGGGGAAACCCUGAUGCAGCGACGCCGCGUGGAGGAAGAAGGUCUUCGGAUUGUAAACUCCUGUUGUUGGGGAAGAUAAUGACGGUACCCAACAAGGAAGUGACGGCUAACUACGUGCCAGCCGCCGCGGUAAUAC
rnacentral:rRNA from 1 species